GCAAAUAACAAGCUCCGUACUCACCUAUAUUAUCCAACUGGUCGCUCUAUUAACAUUUAAGUCACAUUUCUAAUUCGGCCAGAAUCCGAGAAACUGCACAAAUGUCGCAACAAAAGGCUCUCCGGCUUUGUGUCAAUAUUCGACCUUUGCGGAAUUGAGAGAAGUGCAUUCGAAAAGCAAGGCCAAAUCGGUAAUUAGGAGAAUGUUGCACUGCACUCGGACUAGCACCGAAACAUUUAAAAAUCUGGGGUUGUGACAUUUUCGGAAGGGUAGCCAGGAGCAAAAUUUUUCGCAACCGAUUGGUCCGGACAAGAAGGAAAACGGCUGAAAAGUUAUGGAUUCCGACUGCAUUUUAAUGGUGUGCUCAAAAAUAUACUAGUGGUUAGUUAAUGUCAAUGUCAAGCGUGAUGGAAUGAUUUCAUUGUGGCAUCAUCUUCGCAAAGUUCAGAAGCAACAUGGACAGUCCUGUUUAUGAUACCCCGAAAAAACUAUAAAUAAUGGGAUCGAUCGACUGCUCGUUACACCAACCACCUUCUCACCCAGUGGCCAAUUAUUUUUCCAGCUGCGUCCACACAUCGCAAUAAAUCUAAAGAAGUUUACGCGUUUGUUGCAAGCGGAAAAUAUUCACCAUAAUCACCGACCCAUAUGGGCAGUUAAUGAACCUACUCGUCGGACUUCGUAAGUCCAGACCAUCGACAAGCUAACUCCAAACAGAUAGCAAACACGUUCUAAUUGGAUGAGAUCUAGUGAAAUAAAUCACAUUUAUAUUCUGCGCGAUUGUGGCAUUUGAAACCCGCUACAAAUUGUCUGCUGCAAAAACCCGCCUACCAGUAGGCGAUUCUGGAAAAAUGGUAGGAGCUAUCGAAAAAUGAGGCCGAAACUAACUUCUAAAAUAUUCUGGAAGACCGAUUUCGGCGAACGUAAUCGAAAUAUACAGCACAUUGAUAAUCCCGACAGUAUCACCGCAACUCCAGGAGAAUUAGGCAGCCAAAAAUUAUAAAAAAAAUCUUGUUCACCUAGUAAAGAUACGGCUAUCAGGUAAAAUCAUUCAAAGUCGAUAUUACAGCCGGUUUUCGAAAUAUGUAUUCGCUUUCAAACUCGAAACUUUAAAAGAAGUAUCUCAAAAUUUGUUACAUUUCAUUUUGACACUUCCGAGAAAAACAUUUUUUCGAAUUGAAGCCGCAAAACUAGAAGUCGAAAUCAAAGCAAGAAAUUUUUUGUUAAUUUUGGCAUUGCUCGGGAAAAGUUCAAAAACAUCACAUAUGGUAUUGAAAAAUUCACAAAAAAUUCUGGAAAACAAAUUUCGACGAGAAAACGUGUAGGAAAUCAACAAAAGAAAUGCUUGUGGUAAUUUUUGAAGGAAUUGGAAGGUCAAAAAUUUUACAUAUUGAUGGUCCCGGACUAAAAUUACAACUCCGGAAAAACUCUUUACGUAGGAAAGAUACGUCUAUCAGUAGGCGAUUCUGGAAAAAUGGUAGGAGCUAUCGAAAAAUGAGGCCGAAACUAACUGCUAAAAUAUUCUGGAAGACCGAUUUCGGCGAACGUAAUCGAAAUAUACAGCACAUUGAUAUCCCGACAGUAUCACCGCAACUCCAGGAGAAUUAGGCAGCCAAAAAUUAUAAAAAAAAUCUUGUUCACCUAGUAAAGAUACGUCUAUCAGGUAAAAUCAUUCAAAGUCGAUAUUACAGCCGGUUUUCGAAAUAUGUAUUCGCUUUCAAACUCGAAAUUUUAAAAGAAGUAUCUCAAAAUUUGUUACAUUGCAUUUUGACACUUCCGAGAAAAACAUUUUUUCGAAUUGAAGCCGCAAAACUAGAAGUCGAAAUCAACGCAAGAAAUUUUUUGUUAAUUUUGGCAUUGCUCGGGAAAAGUUCAAAAACAUCACAUAUGGUAUUGAAAAAUUCACAAAAAAUUCUGGAAAACAAAUUUCGACGAGGAAACGUGUAGGAAAUCAACAAAAGAAAUGCUUGUGGUAAUUUUUGAAGGAAUUGGAAGGUCAAAAAUUUUACAAAUUGAUGGUCCCGGACUAAAAUUACAACUCCGGAAAAACUCUUUUUACGUAGGAAAGAUACGUCUAUCAGGUAAAAUAAUGCAAAGACGAAUCGACUUCUAGAUUUCGAAAUAUUAAAAUACCUUAAAAUUGUUUACAUUUCAUUUCGAGGAUAUCGGAAAACUGGUAGAAAUUUUCCAAGAAAUCAAGCCGGGAAAAAGGCCGAAAUCAACAAAAGACAUUUUGAUGUUAAUUUUGUCGCUCAAAAACAUACUGAAGAAUUGAACUUCUGACGAACUUGUCUAAAAAUCCACAAAAAAUUCUAGGAGCUAAAAAAAUUCGUGUUGAUCCCGAAGAAAGAUUGCAGACGAACAUCUUAAAUCAAUGGGUUGUAUUUUAACGAUGAAACCGAGAUUUUUAUAUGCAAUUAAAGGAAAAGACUAAAUUAAUGAUAUCAAACAAAGAUAACGAUCUAAUUAUUAAA